rnacentral:ribozyme from 12 species
AUCCUGCAAAUCAGCCCUGAUCUUCCAAAAGGAAGGUCAGAUCAACGCAACAAGCCACACGGCAAAAACAGCGGAUUGGGUCAGUUUUUUUUUUUUUUUUUUUUUUUUU